GACCACACCGGUGUCCUAGUGGUAUGAGCGUCCGCCUCAAAUGCGGAAGGUCGUGGGUUAGAUUCCCGGUCGAGUCA